AGUGUGUGUGUGUGUGUGUGUGUGUGUGUGUGUCUGAUUAUCUCUAAUUGCUUCCAAUACAGCAGCACUUU